rnacentral:rRNA from 1 species
UGUGUGUUAGUGGAAGCGUCUGGAAAGGCGCGCGAUACAGGGUGACAGCCCCGUACACAAAAAUGCACAUGCUGUGAGCUCGAUGAGUAGGGCGGGACACGUGGUAUCCUGUCUGAAUAUGGGGGGACCAUCCUCCAAGGCUAAAUACUCCUGACUGACCGAUAGUGAACCAGUACCGUGAGGGAAAGGCGAAAAGAACCCCGGCGAGGGGAGUGAAAAAGAACCUGAAACCGUGUACGUACAAGCAGUGGGAGCACGCUUCGGCGUGUGACUGCGUACCUUUUGUAUAAUGGGUCAGCGACUUAUAUUCUGUAGCAAGGUUAACCGAAUAGGGGAGCCGAAGGGAAACCGAGUCUUAACUGGGCGUUAAGUUGCAGGGUAUAGACCCGAAACCCGGUGAUCUAGCCAUGGGCAGGUUGAAGGUUGGGUAACACUAACUGGAGGACCGAACCGACUAAUGUUGAAAAAUUAGCGGAUGACUUGUGGCUGGGGGUGAAAGGCCAAUCAAACCGGGAGAUAGCUGGUUCUCCCCGAAAGCUAUUUAGGUAGCGCCUCGUGAAUUCAUCUCCGGGGGUAGAGCACUGUUUCGGCAAGGGGGUCAUCCCGACUUACCAACCCGAUGCAAACUGCGAAUACCGGAGAAUGUUAUCACGGGAGACACACGGCGGGUGCUAACGUCCGUCGUGAAGAGGGAAACAACCCAGACCGCCAGCUAAGGUCCCAAAGUCAUGGUUAAGUGGGAAACGAUGUGGGAAGGCCCAGACAGCCAGGAUGUUGGCUUAGAAGCAGCCAUCAUUUAAAGAAAGCGUAAUAGCUCACUGGUCGAGUCGGCCUGCGCGGAAGAUGUAACGGGGCUAAACCAUGCACCGAAGCUGCGGCAGCGACACUGUGUGUUGUUGGGUAGGGGAGCGUUCUGUAAGCCUGCGAAGGUGGCCUGUGAGGGUUGCUGGAGGUAUCAGAAGUGCGAAUGCUGACAUAAGUAACGAUAAAGCGGGUGAAAAGCCCGCUCGCCGGAAGACCAAGGGUUCCUGUCCAACGUUAAUCGGGGCAGGGUGAGUCGACCCCUAAGGCGAGGCCGAAAGGCGUAGUCGAUGGGAAACAGGUUAAUAUUCCUGUACUUGGUGUUACUGCGAAGGGGGGACGGAGAAGGCUAUGUUGGCCGGGCGACGGUUGUCCCGGUUUAAGCGUGUAGGCUGGUUUUCCAGGCAAAUCCGG